CUGAAUCUGUUCUUAAAGUCAACAGAUGUGUUGGUUUAUCAGAACCACUUUCAUACUGUUCGACCCUACUCACUUUAAUUCUUUAUCAAUUCAUAUCAUCAUAUCAACCUAGCUAUCAACACAGAUAGCUAGGUUAACCCAUUCCCCCUAUACCACACAGAUAGCUUGGUUAACCCAUUCCCCCUAUACAACACAGAUAGCUAGGUUAACCCAUUCCCCCUAAAUAACACAGAUAGCUAGGUUAACCCAUUCCCCUAUACAACACAGAUAGCUAGGUUAACCCAUUCCCUGUAUACAACACAGAUAGCUAGGUUAACCCAUUCCCCCUAUACAACACAGACAGCUAGGUUAACCCAUUCCCUGUAUACCACACAGAUAGCUAGGUUAACCCAUUCCCCCUAUAUAACACAGAUAGCUAGGUUAACCCAUUCCCCCUAUAUAACACAGAUAGCUAGGUUAACCCAUUCCCCCUUUACAACACAGAUAGCUAGGUUAACCCAUUCCCCCUAUACAACACAGAUAGCUAGGUUAACCCAUUCCCUGUAUACAACACAGAUAGCUAGGUUAACCCAUUCCCCCUAUACAACACAGAUAGCUAGGUUAACCCAUUCCCCGUAUACAACACAGAUAGCUAGGUUAACCCAUUCC
ensembl:lncRNA